AGUCGAACGGUAACGCGGGGCAACCUGGCGACGAGUGGCGAACGGGUGAGUAAUGCAUCGGAACGUGCCUGGUAGUGGGGGAUAACUGCUCGAAAGAGCAGCUAAUACCGCAUACGACCUGAGGGUGAAAGGGGGGGAUCGCAAGACCUCUCGCUAUCAGAGCGGCCGAUGUCGGAUUAGCUAGUUGGUGGGGUAAAGGCCCACCAAGGCAACGAUCCGUAGCUGGUCUGAGAGGACGACCAGCCACACUGGGACUGAGACACGGCCCAGACUCCUACGGGAGGCAGCAGUGGGGAAUUUUGGACAAUGGACGCAAGUCUGAUCCAGCCAUGCCGCGUGCGGGAAGAAGGCCUUCGGGUUGUAAACCGCUUUUGUCAGGGAAGAAAUCUUCUGGACUAAUACUCUGGGAGGAUGACGGUACCUGAAGAAUAAGCACCGGCUAACUACGUGCCAGCAGCCGCGGUAAUACGUAGGGUGCAAGCGUUAAUCGGAAUUACUGGGCGUAAAGCGUGCGCAGGCGGUUAUGCAAGACAGGUGUGAAAUCCCCGAGCUCAACUUGGGAACUGCAUUUGUGACUGCACGGCUGGAGUGCGGCAGAGGGGGAUGGAGUUCCGCGUGUAGCAGUGAAAUGCGUAGAUAUGCGGAGGAACACCGAUGGCGAAGGCAAUCCCCUGG
rnacentral:rRNA from 1 species